CUAAGGAGUUUUUGUGAGUGGAAUGUUGGCGUCCUGCCUGUGAUGGGUGGGGUUGGGGGCAUGCUGUUGGGUUGUGGGGUAUCACAUGUGUGGUGGCCUGUGCGGUGCUGUGUUGCGUGCGUGUGUGCGUGGUGUGGUGUUCG
rnacentral:misc_RNA from 1 species